GAGGUUGUAGCUCAGCUUGGAUAGAGCAUCAGAUUGCGGAUCUGAGGGUCAGAAGUUCGAAUCUUCCCAGCCUCG
rnacentral:tRNA from 2 species